rnacentral:rRNA from 1 species
CAGCCGCCGCGGUAAUACGUAGGUGGCAAGCGUUGUCCGGAAUUAUUGGGCGUAAAGGGCUCGCAGGCGGUUUCUUAAGUCUGAUGUGAAAGCCCCCGGCUCAACCGGGGAGGGUCAUAGGAAACUGGGAAACUUGAGUGCAGAAGAGGAGAGUGGAAUUCCACGUGUAGCGGUGGAAUGCGUAGAGAUGUGGAGGAACACCAGUGGCGAAGGCGACUCUCUGGUCUGUAACUGACGCUGAGGAGCGAAAGCGUGGGGAGCGAACAGGAUUAGAUACCCGAGUAGUCCCUGUCUCUUAUAC